rnacentral:rRNA from 1 species
UUGGAGGGCAAGUCUGGUGCCAGCAGCCGCGGUAAUUCCAGCUCCAAUAGCGUAUAUUAAAGUUGCUGCAGUUAAAAAGCUCGUAGUUGAAUUUCGGGACCAUCAUGUCGGUCGUGCCUCGGUACGUACUGGCAUCGUCGGUUUCUCCCUUCUGACGAACCAUGAUGUCAUUUAUUUGGUGUCGUGGGGAAUCAGGACUGUUACUUUGAAAAAAUUAGAGUGUUUAAAGCAGGCUCACGCUUGAAUACAUUAGCAUGGAAUAAUGAAAUAGGACGUUUGAUUCUAUUUUGUUGGUUUCUAGGAUCGACGUAAUGAUUAAUAGGGGUAGUUGGGGGCAUUAGUAUUCAAUUGUCAGAGGUGAAAUUCUUGGAUUUAUUGAAGACUAACUACUGCGAAAGCAUUUGCCAAGGAUGUUUUCAUUAAUCAAGAACGAAAGUUAGGGGAUCGAAGACGAUCAGAUACCGUCGUAGUCUUAACCAUAAACUAUGCCGACUAGGGAUCGGAUGAUGUUAAUUUUUUAAUGACUCAUUCGGCGCCUUACGGGAAAC